rnacentral:rRNA from 1 species
GUAGGGAGCAAGCGUUAUCCGGAUUUAUUGGGUGUAAAGGGUGCGUAGAUGGAUAUGCAAGUUGGUUGUGAAAUACCUCGGCUUAACUGAGGAACUGCAACCAAAACUGUAAAUCUUGAGUACUGGAGGGGAAAGCGGAAUUCCUAGUGUAGCGGUGAAAUGCGUAGAUAUUAGGAAGAACACCGGUGGCGAAGGCGGCUUUCUGGACAGAAACUGACAUUGAGGCACGAAAGUGUGGGGAGCAAACAGGAUUAGAUACCCUGGUAGUCCACACCGUAAACGAUGGAUACUAGGUGUAGGUGAUGAUAAGUCAUCUGUGCCGUCGCAAACGCAGUAAGUAUCCCACCUGGGGAGUACGGCCGCAAGGUUG